UACGAAGGGGGCUAGCGUUGCUCGGAAUCACUGGGCGUAAAGGGUGCGUAGGCGGGUCUUUAAGUCAGGGGUGAAAUCCUGGAGCUCAACUCCAGAACUGCCUUUGAUACUGAAGAUCUUGAGUUCGGGAGAGGUGAGUGGAACUGCGAGUGUAGAGGUGAAAUUCGUAGAUAUUCGCAAGAACACCAAUUGCGAAGGCAGCUCACUACACAGCCAUUGACGCUGAGGCACGAAAGCGUGGGGAUCAAACAGG
rnacentral:rRNA from 1 species